rnacentral:other from 1 species
UAAGCCCUGCUGUGUUGGUGAGCCAGCUUAGUUUUGAGCCAUUACUGAGUUAGUUAAGGGAGUCUCCCUUCGCAGGCCCAGGUAAACCGGCCCUGGUAGUCGGGAACCAAAAAGUCUGCGAGCGAUUCCCGACCUGUAGAAAUACAGGUUCAAAACUCCUCGGCACCACGGCAUGAUGGGGACCUU